rnacentral:rRNA from 1 species
UACGGAGGGGGCUAGCGUUGUUCGGAAUUACUGGGCGUAAAGCGCACGUAGGCGGCUUUGUAAGUUAGAGGUGAAAGCCCAGGGCUCAACCCUGGAAUUGCCUUUAAGACUGCAUCGCUUGAACAUCGGAGAGGUAAGUGGAAUUCCGAGUGUAGAGGUGAAAUUCGUAGAUAUCGAGAGGAACACCUGCGGCGAAGGCGGGUUGCUGGGCUGACACUGACGCUGAGGCGCGAAAGCCAGGGGAGCGAACGGG